rnacentral:lncRNA from 1 species
GGGGCAAGCUCCAGUUAUGCUAAUCAUCUUUUAAUUGGAAUAGUUUGCUCUGUGUCCCUCCUGUACAGAUGAUGCACCACAGAAAAGUAGCCUUUACUAAUUUGCCUUAAGCAGAUUUUGAACUGUGGUAUAUGCAAAUAAUGUGCUAUUACAUGGGGUUUAAACUAUAUUAGAUGGCAACAGAUUGCAUAAUUGAAUCACUAGGGUAAUGUAAAAUAAAUGUUUUAAAUGUGCCAUCACUGUUAAGUAAAAGUAUUCCUACCAUGUGCCCAGCACUGUGCAGGGAGCUGAGUUUAUUGAGAAUUAAUUUGAAAAACUGCUUUCACUUUGAAGAUUGAGAAGGUAUGCCAAAGCUCAUUUAUAUUUUUAAAUGUUAAAUUUUAAAUGCAUAACACCAGCAUUACAUAACAGACAUAAAGUGCAGUUUUAUGAUUUGGAUAAUUUUUGUUUCUUUAACGUGCACUACCAACUCCAUUUCCAAAUGCUAUGAAAACCUAUAUAUAAGAAUGGAGUGCCUUAUUCACUUAUUUGUCUUAUCUGGCAAGUGUUACAACACAGGCAUGCCAUUUCAGAGUUUAGGGUGCAACUAAGCUGUACUUUAGCGUUUUUGUGUCAAGUGAAGAUAAUUUGAGCAACGACACUCAUUUCCCGUUUUUUUUUUUUCUUUCUUUCUUUCAUGGCGAGUUACCAAAAGCUAGAUGACAGAUUCAUAAAGAAACCUGACAUCUAGGGAGGUGUUGAGGGGGCGUUAAUAGUUGUAGUUAGAUGUUUGGGGAGCGUUGAAAAUACGAUUUUAGCACAGCAAAUAAAGGAGAAGGGGAAAUUAGGGUUUCAUACGACUCUCCUCCCUCCACUUUCUCGCUGUACCCACCUGACCCCCCUCCUCCAGUUCAGAGGCGGGUUCAGCGAGAUUAGGCUGCAGGAAACCGAGAGGCUUCACUGAGCUAACUCCCCAGCCUCGUGAUGUAAUUGUUAUUUCUCAUUCGGAGACCAAACCGAGGAGAGCGGCUGAAGAAGUGGCAGCCUUGCUGUUUUUGCCUCGUCGGGCUGGGUCAGAUCCUUUCCGGGGAUGGUGGUGUAGCUCCGCUGGAGACUUCGCAGUGACAAAGCAGCUGAAGCUAAACCCUGCUCCUGGGUCCUACGUCCGUCCAGGGAGCCGAGCGGGGCACUCCUCAGAUGCACAGUUGACUGAAGGAAUCAGUGAGUCUGAAGACUCCAGAUGACAUCAGAGCUGCUUGUCAGUAGCCUUCUCAAUUUCCUUUGUCAGAAAGCAGAGAGAUUCAAACCUCGGGCAGAUGGUGAGAAUAUUUUUCCUGAGUUCUUUGGACUUAAUCAUUGUCAUUUUAAUAGAUUUCAGACAAUUCUUCCUCGGUUGUAAAUUAGCUUACCAUCAAUAAAUGUGUAUUUUGUGCUUCAUCUGUGUGUUAGGCCAUUAGGCAGUGCGGUUUUAAAAAAAGAAUGAGAUAAAAUGUUACCUUUAAGAACUUAGAAGGAAAGAAUAAAUGCAAAUAAGUAAAUGUAAUCAUACAGUAAAGUGCUUAAAUGCUACAAAAAUGACAAGAACAUUCUUGAGAAUAUAAUGAGCAGAUUAUUUCUGGAGAGGGAUUGGGAGACUUGGAAGAAGAAAUAGUAUUUAUGUUAAUGAUACACAGGGUUUUUUGUUUGUUUUUUUUUUUUACCAAAACCUGC